GGAAGGUUGUCGAUACCGCCGAGGUGGAGGCUAAUACUCCAUAAAGCCGGUCUCAGUUCGGAUUGGAGUCUGCAACUCGACUCCAUGAAGUUGGAAUCGCUAGUAAUCGCGGAUCAGCAUGCCGCGGUGAAUACGUUCCCGGGCCUU
rnacentral:rRNA from 1 species